CCAAACGCUCCCUUUAACUAACCGGAUUACAAACCAACGAUUUCCCGGACUGAACUCCAACUCUACACCUGUUUAUUAAUCCAGGAAUACCUCCAUUGAGGGCCCGCAACAGUGCUGACCGCGCAACAGGUACCUGCGGGAGCUUUAUCAGAGUUGAACGGUAUAAAGGGGCUUCAUUCGCAUUUUUUUCAACCUCUGGAGUACCCUCAGGGAGAGCCCACAGCAUCAAGCAUUUUCCUCUACAAUACCCAUACAGAAUCAGUAAUACAGCUCUUGAACAGGAAAAUCACCCCUUCAGCUUACCACAUCAGCCAUUCAAACCACCAUCGCUCGCACCAGCGCG